GCCGCGAGGGUGAGUAGCUACACCCCGUGACAGCCGCCUUUCACGCUCCUUGGAGAUGUGAGAAACCGGGGCCUUGUAAUCUCUUGGUCGCAGGUUCGAAUCCUGCCGGGGGCA
rnacentral:tRNA from 1 species